rfam:Dichanthelium oligosanthes cultivar Kellogg 1175 unplaced genomic scaffold Do_version_2_scaffold1748, whole genome shotgun sequence.
GAGCCGUAUGCGGUGAGAGUCGCACGUGCGGUAAGGAGGGGGGGUUCGCGUCUAUACAUGUAGUGUGGUGGUUGGGCCUACCCACCCUAU